GAUUCUGGCUCAGGAUGAACGCUAGCUACAGGCCUAACACAUGCAAGUCGAGGGGUAGCGUGAGGGAAGCUUGCUUCCCUGACGACGACCGGCGAAUGGGUGAGUCACGCGUGUCCAACCUGCCCCGUGCCCGGGGAUAGCCCUUGGAAAUGAGGAUUAAGACCCGAUAUGUGGCGCUUCCGCAUGGCGGCGCCAUGAAGCAGGCACGGGAUGGGGACGCGUCGGAUUAGCUUGACGGCGGGGCAACGGCCCACCGUGGCGACGAUCCGCAGGGGUUCUGAGAGGAAGGUCCCCCACACUGGCACUGAGACACGGGCCAGACUCCUACGGGAGGCAGCAGUGAGGAAUAUUGGUCAAUGGGCGGGAGCCUGAACCAGCCCAAGUAGCGUGCAGGACGACGGCCCUACGGGUUGUAAACUGCUUUUCCGGGAGGAUAAAGUGAGCCACGCGUGGUUCAUUGCAGGUAUCCCGGGAAUAAGGACCGGCUAAUUCCGUGCCAGCCGCGGC
rnacentral:rRNA from 1 species